AGGCCGAUUCAAUCUGGGAGGGGAAGCGGCGAGUGGUUUCGGCGGCAUGCGGAGGCAGGUUUCGGCGGCUAGACGGCGGGAGCUACGGGUGGACUCGGCUGCUUGUGGCACUGGGUGUGACCCCGUUGGCCGGUGGCAGCGUCGAGGCGAGCAGGAAUGCAGGAGGCUUCACGACAACCGGCGGCCUUGCGGCGGCUGUACGCAGGGGAAUCAGCCCCUUGCUCUCCUCUGCGACCUCAUCAGUUGGAAUCGAGAAGGCCAUAUCCUUAGCUCCCUCUCCACCAGAAACCUCUAGAAUCGAUGGCUACCUCCCUACCUGAGCGCCACCCAUCACCCCAACCUCCAGAGCCUGCCCAUCAGUGCCUCAAUAGCCUGAUGUGCUCAAGCCUUAUUUAUUCAGGAUGAAUCUGGGGAGCUUUUUAUACUCAAGAGUGAUUAGAUGACAGGCACUACUUCCAGUAAGGUCAAGAAAAUCCAUACACGAGGUACUCAGGGUUCUGCAUGAGAUACGGUGCAUGCUGAACAACCAAAAAUGAGGGGGACAAUUCAUUUUGAAUGAGAUCUGAUGCAUGAUCCAAUACAAUAGCAACUAGUCAGACACGAAUUGGUAUCUUCAUUCGAAUUGAAGAACACUAGCAGUGAAGCAUCUGCAUUUCAGCAGCAGGGGAAGAAGUCAGCCCACCCAGAAGCGGCAACACCAUUACAAAUGGUAAUAUCAGAAAUGUAACUUCUGUUUGAAGUAAAUGAUAGGUGUCUCUGGCGCCAACACCUUGUCCCAAGAAAUAGAUAUCUGAUGCUAAAUACCCAGAUUGUCAGUAGGGAU